GCCGCCCCCGGCGCCGCCCGCCCUGCCGGGGAUGCUGGCGGCGCCCAAGCCGGGCGCCCCGGGGCUGCUGAGCCCCACGCAGAGCGCGGCGGGCGGCGGCUUCGCUCUGGAGGCGCAGCGGCAGAGAAGGCGUUUUAUCUCCCAGCGCUGCUCUCUAGACUUUUUAGAAGACAUAGUGGAGUAUGCCAGUGUCCGAAGGUACUUGUUUUCAAAAGCAGCAUUAACCUCAGCUCGUUGCAUGCCCUCCUCUCCUCCCUCCACCCUCUUCCACGCCAAUAUCUGAGGUCCUGCAUGCUGGUGCUGCCAUCUGAUCAUACAACUGGCAUGAAUUUUUCUCAGGACACUUAACAGAUUUGGCUUUUUUUUUGUUUGUUUUUCUUUUUUUAUCGUUGCAGAACCAAGCAUAUAUCUGGGUCUCCAAGACACAAAAGUUUGAAGAAGAUGCACUUCAUCAAGAACAUGAGGCAGUAUGACACCAAGAACAGCAGGUAACAUGGGGAGAUCGAGGUUCCCCCUCUACUUGUGUGCAGUAGGAGGCACCUCCAGUUCCAUGCAGUGAGACAUUGAACAUCAGUGAGAAUUAGGGGAUGCCCCUGGGGCCUUGUUAGCUUUAUCCAGAGUUCUGUCAAAGGUGGUAGGUGCUCAUUUCUGCUACAUUUGCACUGAUGGUUCUGCCAUCCUACUCUGAGGAGGUUAAAUCAUUCUCUCUUUUCUUCUCUCACUUUUCCUCUUUCUCUCACUUUCCUUAUCUCUGGCAUAGAGAGGUCAGAGCUGAGAAUGGAGAAACAAUGGAGAAGCCAUUAAGGAGAAUGGCUUGAUUUAGGCAAAUUCCUGGCUCUUGGUUGCUGAGCAGAAGAGAAAGGGAGGCUGCAUUUAUGUUUAUUAUUAAUAGAAGUGUGAGGUUUCAUCUAAAUGUAAAAUAUUAUCUACUUUUUUCACAAGGUUUAUGUAAAAAUUACAUAGAUAUAUAUUUAAGGACUGGGAUCUCCUUUGAGUUGCUCCCAAGGUGUUGGCAGGUCCUAAACACUGAGAUUUGAUAGAGAGCCCCAAGGACCUGCAGGGUCAAUGUUAAACCUCUGCUCUUCUGCUGCUUUCUGAAAAUGUUAAAUCCAUGGCAGUAUCUAUGACUUGCAAAAGCAAGAUAAGAAGAGCCUUGUGUUAAUACCCCAUAAAAAGCUGCUUUGUAACUUCUGGAUCUUAAUUGAUACCCUGAUCUUUCCCCAUCUGCUUACAGGAUAGUGCUGAUCUGUGCCAAACGAACCCUGUGUGUGGCGUUUUCCAUC
rnacentral:lncRNA from 1 species